UGCUACAGUGUUGGACCGGCCUGAUAGUCGCCGAUGCUUCGGGCGACAUAUUGGCCUUGGUACGAGCGGGCAGAGCACACGGAUUUGCCAUCCGUGCGUCCCUGUUCACAGGGGGUUAGUCUGGACUCCACGGCUGAAUGCCCAUCUCCUGAUUCUCCUCUUACUCAUUCGUCGCUGGCGACGACAGUUUCUAGCGCUUCCAACGCCGCACCGAGAAGGGAUUUCCUCCGUCUCCCCAGCUGCGUCACACCCCUCGCCCCUCGCUUCUAUAGCCUGUACGAGAUCAGCAACAUCUGCAGGAGACAAGGAUGUUACCAUCUGGCACGUGAUAUGAGGGUCAUGGUACCUCAGGUCCUUACCAACUAAUACCACUUCUACGCCAAGGAAUCGCAUUAGUAUCUGCUUAUCAAGCGAGAGUUUAGCAGGCAUGAGGGCGAUGAACUUGUAUCCUUUCUGAGCAGCAAUGAACGCCACGCCGAUGCCGAGAUUACCACUCGUGACCCCCAGCAGCGUUGUGAUGCCAGAAUGUCUUCCUCGGAAGGGAGUAAAAAGAGCAGCCACCUGAGAGCACUCCGAUCCUUCACAGAGGAAAGGGGCUGGUACGGCUCAAUCUUCCCAAUAAGCCGAGCACCUAUGCCGUCUUUCUCAGUGAUGUUUCUCAGUUCUAUCAGUGGUGUCCAACCAAUGAGCUGGAAGGCAUAGAAUUUACUUGCAGAUUAAAGAUAACAAGCUUUGUACAGUGAAGGAAUAAUGACUAUAUACAGAGAAAGUAGGCACCUGCGUGAUGUUGGUGGCGAUGCACUCCCCCUGCGAGGACAGCAGAGAUGAAAUAGGAGGCGCUCCAGCGUUCAAUGAUGUUAUAUAGCUGAGAAGUCCCAUUCUGAUGUUUGCAGCAUGCCAAUGAGAUACUAAAUUCAGAAAACCACCGAUUGGUUGGAAGCCUAGAACUUGGAACACAAGUUUCCCUGUAUGCCAAGAAACCACCGAUGGGUUGGAAGCCUGGAACUUGAACCCCAAGUUUCCCUGCUUAUAGAACAAGACAAUCAACCAUUAUGCAGAGGGUCACAAAGUGCCAAAUGUAUUAGACUCGUGGUCUGUGACUUCGCUGCAAGUUGAGACGACUGGUUACGUAUUCAUGAGCUGAAGAUGCUGGGGUAAUCAACACAGAUUUGGCAAGCUUCCCUGCUCUCUGAAAAGAUAAUUAGUUAAGCAUCAGGACACUUGUAGACUUGUAGCACACAAUCAAGAGGUUGUUCACAAGAGACUGCUCCAGUUGGGAUUUAUCUAACUGUGAUGAUCAUUGAUCAAUUCAGUGUGGUACUACUGCGCAUCAGGUCAAAAGGUGGCAUGUUUUUAUGUCACCUCUGGUGGUUCGUGCAUCGCCUCAUCGGAAUUUCUAACGAAGAAUAAUGUGCAGUAGGGGGGCAAGUCGAUCUUUGCACAGCGCUUAUGAUCGAGUUAAUCAGGGUAAGAGUGGCAUGCGAACUGGUGUGCUAUUCUCCAUUCGAUUCAUUUCAUUGGGUUCCUUUUCGAGUUCCUGGAGUUGAUGAUUACCUCGAUCAUAAUAGCACGCCAGGAACUUCUUAGGUUACCUCGAUCAUAUUAUGCUGUUGCUUCUUCCACCUUCGAUGCAACCUAAGAAGUUCCUGGAGUUCCUGAAGUUCCGGGAAGGGGAGGAUGGCAAGAACAGGUUCCAAAAGAUAUUUUCUCUUCAUGAUAGCUUUAUCUUUCACUUCUUCUUCUUCUUCUUCUUCUUCUUCUUCUCCUAUUCAUUUUUUGUACGAAACUCUUCCCUUAUUCUUGAGUAGAUAGUUCUGCACUUAUAUCCCCAUUUGAUGGUAGUCGCUAACACAUAAUUUAUGCCAAACUAAACCAUAUUUCUUUAAGAUUUUGAAACUGGUGAAA